rnacentral:lncRNA from 1 species
GCCUUUGUUGAUUUUCUCCUCGUCUUCGGAGGAGCUUGAUUCAUCCCAAUUUUUGUUCUUCUUCUUGUGUUCAAAGCAAGUAGUUCCGUUCUUUUUAGUUUUUAAUUUUUGUUUCAUUUGUAGUUUAAGUUCACCAUCACUUGAGCUUAUGCUCGAGUGGUCUUCAAAUGUUCUAUGUCCCAAAUCCUUCCUGUUCUUUGGAAGGUGGUUCUCAAG